rnacentral:tRNA from 1 species
GAGCCCGUAGCUCAGCUGGUAGAGCAACUGACUUUUAAUCAGUAGGUCCAGGGUUCGAGCCCCUGCGGGCUCA